AGGGAAGAAAUUGACAUUACAGCAAGAC
rnacentral:piRNA from 1 species